rnacentral:rRNA from 1 species
CCCGGGUCUUGUACACACCGCCCGUCACACCAUGGGAGCGGGUUCUGCCAGAAGUAGUUAGCCUAACCGCAAGGAGGGCGAUUACCACGGCGGGUUCGUGACUGGGGUG